rnacentral:rRNA from 1 species
AGGGAAUCUUCCACAAUGGGCGCAAGCCUGAUGGAGCAACACCGCGUGAGUGAAGAAGGGUUUCGGCUCGUAAAGCUCUGUUGUUAGAGAAGAACGUGCGUGAGAGCAACUGUUCACGCAGUGACGGUAUCUAACCAGAAAGUCACGGCUAACUACGUGCCAGCAGCCGCGGUAAUACGUAGGUGGCAAGCGUUAUCCGGAUUUAUUGGGCGUAAAGCGAGCGCAGGCGGUUUGAUAAGUCUGAUGUGAAAGCCUUUGGCUUAACCAAAGAAGUGCAUCGGAAACUGUCAGACUUGAGUGCAGAAGAGGACAGUGGAACUCCAUGUGUAGCGGUGGAAUGCGUAGAUAUAUGGAAGAACACCAGUGGCGAAGGCGGCUGUCUGGUCUGCAACUGACGCUGAGGCUCGAAAGCAUGGGUAGCGAACA